UCGACGUCUCAAUUAUGACCUUGUGGACUAUAAUGGAGUCACACAAAUGUAGACGAUGUGAGAUUAACAAUAUAGGCUUCUUGGACCCUAGCACCGUACAUGAGAACACAAUCAAUUUACCAAGUACCGUUGACUACUUGUACAAAGCUUUCCUCUCCAUGCAGGAUAAAAGAUCCAUACUUCUUUCAUACAAUUGCUUUUAUCAUCAUGUCCUACUCGAUAUCAGCCUUAGCGAUAGUCGAAUCGAGGUUUCUGACUCACAAAAGAGG